rnacentral:rRNA from 1 species
CAGUUUCUGCUUCAUAGAAGGCGCUUAGGCAAAUCCGGGCGCGGAAUUCAAGGGUGCGAGGCCAGUCGCUUAGGCGACGAAGCAAUCGGAAGUGGUUCCAAGAAAAGCCUCUAAGCUUCAGUCAUACGAGACCGUACCGCAAACCGACACAGGUGGGCGAGAUGAGUAUUCUAAGGCGCUUGAGAGAACUCGGGAGAAGGAACUCGG